rnacentral:lncRNA from 1 species
UAAAACGAUAAUACAUAAACUACUUCUCAUAUAUAAGAAUAUUGCCUCACAUUUCAAUACAACCAUAAUAGUAGGAAAAUAAGCUGUGUAUCAUUAACAAAACUACCAACCUAUAUGUUAUAUUGUGGCAAAAUUUUUGAAAUUAUGGUUUUGAAGAUAUUGUAAUAUUCGGCUUAACGGUAUUUUGCACAAUUCUUGAGUACACAUAACAAUAAGAAGAUGUACUAUGUGAUAUAUGUUUUCCACUGAGACAAAUCUCCACAAGUGACCAAAUGACACAGAAAUUAACAAAGCUUAUAGGUUACUGUACGACUUUCAACUUUUUUUAUUUCGAGAUUUGUCAGUUGCAUCG